rnacentral:rRNA from 1 species
AGAGAGAGACAUGCGCGCAUAUCAAUAAGCGGAGGAAAAGAAACUAACAAGGAUUCCCCUAGUAACGGCGAGUGAAGCGGGAAGAGCUCAAAUUUGAAAUCUUAAAGGGUUUCCCUUUACGAAUUGUAGUUUAAAGAAGUGUUUUUCUGUUGAGGUUUUGGUAAAAGUUCUUUGGAAUAGGACAUCAUAGAGGGUGAGAAUCCCGUAUUUGACCUUUACUUUCAACUUUGUGAUACACUUUCAAAGAGUCGGAUUGUUUGGGAAUGCAGUCCAAAAUGGGUGGUAAAUUUCAUCUAAAGCUAAAUAUUGGCGAGAGACCGAUAGCGAACAAGUACCGUGAGGGAAAGAUGAAAAGAACUUUGAAAAGAGAGUUAAACAGUACGUGAAAUUGUCAAAAGGGAAGCGUUUGACACCAGUGUUGUUUUUUCUGAAAAUCAAUUAAAGAACUGUUUAUGCUAAGCUUGUUUAGGACUUUAUCAGCUAUCUGUUUAGUUUUGAGCUUUUCUUUAAUGCACUUUUCAGUUAACAAGUCAACAUCAAUUUCUUUUGCUGUAAAAAAGCUUGAGGAAGGUGGCUUGAGAUUCGUCCUUAAGUGUUUAUAGCCUCUUGCCUAUGCAGUCGGAGAGAUUGAGGUCUGCAGCGUAGAUCCUUCGGGGCUAAAUGCAUUUGUGCUAAGUUAUAGCAUUUUAUAGACAACUUGUUGACUAUGAUUUGUCUUGUAGCUUACUCGCUUAUGUUAUUUUACCUACGCUUAGGAUGUUGACGCAUGAGAUAUACGC